CACAAAGACCCGCGAUAGUUGCUAGUAGCGCGGGGCUUGGUAUCGCUUGCCCGCCUUGUGCGGCUGUCGUGGCUGCAGAGAGAGGCUGGAAGGUGGCCGUGGGCGUGGACCAGCUGAGGGUCUUUUAAGGACCGGUUGUGCUAGUGGUAGAGAAUCCACCUGCCAAUGCAGAAGAUGUGGGCUCGAUCCCUGGGUUGGAAAGAUCAGCUGGAGUAGGAAAAGGCAACCCACUCCAGUAUUCUUGCCUAAAAAAUUGCAUGAACAGAGGAGCAUGAGCUGACCUCACCCAUCAUUCUGCCCUUGAUUGACCAAUGAUGACAGGAGGUUAGCCCAGAGGGGCAAGUGGAGCCAGAGAACAAGCAACUAUGGAAACUACUGUAGAAGCAGGAAGAUGAGUGAGGAGUCUGAAGAGCUCCUAUGAGGAGCACAGAUGUGAGUUAUCAGUGGUGCUGUGUACCUAGAAGGCAGCAGAUGGCAGGUGCCAGGUCAUCAGGCUGCCCACUGAAGCCUCCAGCAAGGAAGAAUUUCAGAUCUGAACUCCAAGAAGGAAUACAUUGAUCCAGCUGAGAGACUUGCAAUCUCUUCAUUGUGCAGAAAAUUGAUUUCUACAAACAGUGGCACAGAUGGUAUGUCAGUUGGAUGACUCACAGACUCCUGAAAUCAACCAUGUUCCAGUGGACCAGUCCAAAUAGGACUCAACAUUUUUACCUUCUAAGACUUCUCUUCCUGAAUUGCCUCACCUUGGCGAAUGGCAUCAUGAAAGGCUCAAUGAUGAAAUACCCUUCAUCUCCCCAGCUUUAGAUGCCAACCAAUCUUAAGGUCUAUGGAACAGGACUCUAUUAGCCCACAAAACUAGCUCUUGUCUCUCACUGCCUGGCCACUACUGUGAUUUAUCUUUAUGACAUUUUAUCUGGAUUUUUAUCAGAGGCCUCUAAUUGUAUUUCUUGCUUCCAACCUUAUCUCCAUGAAAUUCAUUCUGUACAUAUUGUCAGAGAUAUUUCUCUUUACAGCUUUACUGAGAUAUAAUUCACAAACCAUAAAAUUCUCUUAAAUAAAGUAAACCAUUCAAUGGC